rnacentral:rRNA from 1 species
UACGUAGGGUCCGAGCGUUGUCCGGAAUUACUGGGCGUAAAGAGCUCGUAGGCGGUUUGUCGCGUCCGCUGUGAAAAUCCGAGGCUCAACCUCGGACUUGCAGUGGGUACGGGCAGACUAGAGUGUGGUAGGGGAGACUGGAACUCCUGGUGUAGCGGUGGAAUGCGCAGAUAUCAGGAGGAACACCGAUGGCGAAGGCAGGUCUCUGGGCCACUACUGACGCUGAGAAGCGAAAGCAUGGGGAGCGAACAGG